ACCAACACCACCAUAAACUCCUCUCCCUGCAGCUCCCUGGGUGCUGUGGCUGCAAACCAGGACUCAGCCAGCAGCUCCCUUCCACUCACAGCACUUCCAGAUGUCUUUGUGCACUGCAGUGAAGAUGAAGAUGCUCAGAGGGAUGGAGAAUCUGCCCUGUGAGGCCAAGCUGGGGAAGAGAAGGCUCCAGGCUUCGUUCACGUCUCGCGUGAAGGAGCAGCAGGACCUCCUGGGAUGCUCUAUCACCACAAACUGGACCAGUGCUAGAGGAAAACCUUCCCCCUGCCCCUGGAUGGAAGCACAAUCUAUGCUCAGCCAUAAAUUCAGGCCCUGCCCUUCCUUUCAAAGCCAUCAACACAUCCACGACACCAACAAAGCAGCAGCACCACUCCACCCUGCAAGCUGCUGGGCUCUUCUCGCAGCCUCUGCUCAGCCAAGAACUCCCACAGAAACGGUUUUGUGUCUCAA